AAUGUCGAAAGCUUCGUCCAGAAUGCUUUGCUAGGGAAGAUGAAUGAACCUAUUAAACCAAACAUUACUCUCCUCCUCUUCUUUUAUGAUUGCUUUGUUGUGCACUCUCUCUCUCUCUCUCUCUCUCUCUCCUUUACUAGAGAAGCUUACGUUCCCAGCGGAGGAGGGGUUCUUGCUCGUAUUAGAGUCCAUCCUUGCUGCUCCUCUUAUUCUCUGCGUCAGAAGAGCCUAAGAGGAUGUAUGAUAUCAAUGUUCGAAGUUCAAGUUCAACGUCAAACCAGCAGAUAACGGAGUUUUGAUCGCGUAAAGGGCUCGGGAUUCAGAAAUCAUAUUCUACUACCUUUUUGGUCGUAAGUAGCCUUAAACCGAAAUUCUGACCGGAGUGACGAACGGUGUCAUCUGAUACUCUCUCCACCUUCCUCCUCUCCUUCUCCUUCGUCAUCCAUUUUUGUUUUCUUGUAGAACAAAUCGCCAAUCCUUAAGGUCGUGCGAAAUGGAGCUAAAACCAGGAUUAUCAGCUUUGGUCACAGGCGGAGGUUCUGGAAUCGGUAAAGCACUUUGCCUGGCUCUUGGGAAGAAAGGCAUUUUUGUGACUGUUGUUGAUUUAUUUGAAGAAAAGGGAAAGGAAGUUGUUUCCCUUGUUGAGCAGGAGAAUGCCAAAUUCCACUCCAAAUUAAAAUUUCCUUCAUCAAUUUUUAUUCGGUGUGAUGUGACUAA